rnacentral:lncRNA from 1 species
CUCCCUCUGCUCCAUGCACUCCCUGCUUCUCCUCUGCCCCAGGCACUCCCUGCUUCUCCUCUGCCCCAGGCUCUCAAUGGUCCUCCUCUGCCCCAGGCUCUCAAUGGUCCUCCUCUGCCCCAGGCUCUCAAUGGUCCUCUGCCCCAGGCUCUCAAUGGUCCUCCUCUGUCCCAGGCUCUCAAUGGUCCUCCUCUGUCCCAGGCUCUCAAUGGUCCUCCUCUGUCCCAGGCUCUCAAUGGUCCUCCUCUGUCCCAGGCUCUCAAUGGUCCUCCUCUGUCCCAGGCUCUCUCUGCUAAUCCUCUGUCCCACACUCUCUCUGCUAAUCCUCUGCCCCAUGCUUUCUCUGAUGCUCCUCUACCCCAGGCUCCCACUGCUUCUCACUUUACAUAUAGACACACUGACACAAAUGUAGAUACACAGACAGUUACACGGACACAUGUGCAGAUACACAGAUACAAACAGACAUGAACACACAAACUCACACAAAGACACUGAUAUGCACACUGACACACAUACAGAUGUACAGACGCACAAAUCCAAGAUAUGGCACACUCACAGAGAUACAGAUACACACACUGACACACAUGCAAAUACAUAUACAGAAAAUCACACAAAGACACAGAUACAAACAAUUAUACUGAUGGACAGAUACAUAGUUACAAACACUGACACACAUACAGUUGCACAGACACACAAAUACACACUGACACACAUACAGAUGUACAGACUACACAGAUCCAAGCAAUGACACUCACACAGAUACAGAUACAAACACUCACACGCAUGCAGAUACAAACACUGACACAUACAGAUGCACAGACACACUGAUACACAUACUGACAAACAUGCAGAUACACAGAUUCAAAACACUGCCACACAUUCAGUUGCACAGACACACCGAUACAUAUCCUGCCACACAUACAGAUAUAAACAUUAACAUAACAAUACACAGCCACACAAAUACAAUGACACACAUGCAGAUACACAGACACACAGAAAUACACAGACACACACACUCACACAUAUACACAUGUACAGAUACAAACACACAUUCAGAUACACACACUGACACACAUGCAGAUAGACUCACAUGAUGACAUGUAGAUAUACAGACACACAUGCAGUUACAAAUGCACACUGAUGCACACACACUGACACACAUACAGAUGUACAGAUACACACUGCCACAAAUGCAGACACGCAUACAGAUUUAUAGACACACAAAUACAAACAUUGACACAAAUACAGAUACAAAUACAUACACUGGAACACAUACAGAUGUACAGAUAUACACACUGGCACACAUACAGAUGUACAGGUACAAACACUGAAAUGCAUGCAGAUGCACAGACACAUUGAUACACAUGCAGAUGCACAGAUCCAAAACUGACAGACAUACAGUUGCACAGACACACUGAUACACGCACCAACACAUUAGGAUACAUAGAUACAAACACUGACACAUACAGAUACAGACACAGUUACAAACACUGACACAUACAGAUACAGACACAGUUACAAACACUGACACACAUGCAGAUACACAGACACACACAAUGACACAUGUAGAUACACAGAUGCAAAUACUGACACACAUACAGGUGCAAAGAUACACAUAUAGUUGCUAAGACACACUGAUACACAUACUGACAUAUGCAGAUACACAAAUACGAACACUGAAACACAAACGCAGAUACAGAUACAAACAGUGGCACAGAUACACAUACUGACACAUACAGAUGUACAGACACACACUUCCAUGCCAGAUACGCAGACACAGAUGUACAGACACACACUGAUGCACAUACAGAUACACACACAUAGAUACACAUACUGACACAUACAGAUGUACAGACACACACACUUCCAUACAUGCAAAUACAGACACAGAUACAAACACUGACACACAUACAGUUGCAAACACACAGACGCAAACACAGACACAUACAAUUGCACACUGACACACAUCCAGAUAUACAGACACCCACAUUGACACACAUAAAGAUAUACAGACACACAGCUACAAACAAUGGGACACAUACAGAAACACAGAUACACUGACGCACACUGAGACAUAGAGGCGCACCAAGAGCAUUUGGCACCCGGGUCAAAUCCAUUGUAUUUGGCACACGGGGCGAAUCCAUUGUAUUUGGCAACCCCUCCAACUCCCCCCACCCACUUUAAAAUGCAAAAAACACCCACAAUUUUGUUUUUAACAGGUUCAAG